rfam:Zea mays cultivar B73 chromosome 1, whole genome shotgun sequence.
ACUCCCGUAUUCACCUCAAUCCACAUGUAUUUAGGUGGAUUGGGGUGUAAAUUAGUUUAAGUUACACACCAGUCCACCUCAAUGCAUGUGGAUUGAGGUGAAUAUGCGA